rnacentral:lncRNA from 1 species
UUGGGUUGGGCGUCGGCUAAGAGUGCUCAGAGCGUGGAUUAACUCCAGUCUCCUAUCAGGUGUGUAUUUCUCACUACUCUAGUUGUAGGAUGGCUACUUCGGGUCGCGAUGGGCCGAAAGGGGUCAUGUAGGCCCAAUGGGCAUACGAGCCCAAUUGGAUAAGUUGUUUGAUUGUGUAGUAAAUAUUGGACUAAGCUAAGUGAAUCUCAUAUUUGUGGCUAAAUUUGGGCUAAAAGGGCCACACGAGCGUGUGGGCCCAUUUGGGCUGAGAAUGGACUUUAGGGCCAUUCGUAUUGUUAUCCCUGUUUAGAAUACUUUAGUUUACCAAUUACAGAAAUGCCCUCGACUUGUAAAAUUACCAAAGUACCCUCAAUUUAUAGAAUCACUAUUUUACCCUUGAUUUACAGAAUUACUGUUUUACCCUCGAUUUACAAAAUUACCGUUUUACCCUCGAUUGUGAAAUUACUAAAAUACCCCUAUAGGGUAGAAUUACCAAAAUACCCUUAGUUUGUAAAAUUACCAAAAUACCACUAGUUUGUGAAAUUACCGAAAUACCCUCAAUUUGUAAAAUUACCAAAAUACCCCUGAUUUACAAAAUUACAGAAAUACUCUUGACUUUCUAAAAAUUAUAAAAAUACCAUUGGUUUACAAAAUUAUUGAAAUACCCUUGGUUUGUAGAUUUACCAAAACACCCUUGUAGGAUGAAAUGACUAAAAUACCCCUAAUAGGUAAAAAGACCGUAAAACCCCUGUAGGGUAAAGUGACCAUAAUACCCCUGUAUGGUAAAAUGACGAAUAUGCCCUUAUGUUCCGUAUGACUGAUGUGCUUAGGAUUUACAUAUAUUGAUAUUGGAUUAGUUAAGUUUGAGUGAUAGGUGGUGGUUAUAGUAGGUGAUUGAUUUUGGAAACGUUUCAACUUCAACCUAUAACAGGUGUGUAAUAACCCUCGUAGUAGCUUAGAUUAAUAUUCGUCGAAAAGCUGAAAUGCUAAAAUUUCAGCAUUUCAGGAACUUGUGAUUUUGCCUUUGCUUAAAGAUGCGAUAGAUACGAUAUGAUCGGUGUUUGGAUCGAUGGAGCAUGUAAGAGUGAAAUUUUGUGCACGAUGGUAAGUUGGGCCUCAAUGGGCUAGAAUCGGGCCUAAUGGGCUUUCGGGCCCAUUUGGGUAAAACUGAUAGAAAAUGGAAUCUGGAAAAGUUACAUGUUAACACGGUUAGUACUGUUGUAAAAUUUGGAUUAAGCAGGCUUAGUGAGCUAAAUCAACAUUCGUAGGGCCCAUUAGGGGUUUUGGGCCCAAAAGUCCGAAUUUGAUAAAGUGGGUUAAAGAUCAUUGUUUAAACACUCAGAAAUAUUGAUAAUUGUUAAUGAACAUAGAAAACCCUGAUAUUUGGUAAAAUUACGAAAUUACCCUUAUAAUAUGAAAAAUGACUAUUUUGCCCUUGUGGGCAAGUGAUUGACUUGGACUGUGUGGUUGAUGGAUUUGAUUGUGAAUAUAUGUUGGUGAUAUGAAUGACUUGACUGUGAUUGUUUGAUUCAAAUAUGGGCAUGACAUUCUGCAUACAUGACGUGUUGCAUGGGUUGGGUUUUAUAAAUGGAGGAAAUGCUAAAAGGGCUAUGCCCCAGUUUACCGAAAAGGGCUUUGCCCCAGUUUAUCAAAAAAGGCUUUGCCCUAGUUAUUAAAAGAGGCUAGGCCUUCAGUUAUAUGAUAAAGUAGCUAUGCUGCCAGUGGAGAGUUUGGUUGGGUGGGUUGAGUUAUUCCCCACAUAGUGUGUUGGUUGGUACGGGUGGAGAGUAGCGGAUGGUGGGUUGAGUAGUCUCCCCAAAUGGGCUUGCAUACAUUCAUUGAUAUUACAUGUGAUAUUGAAAUGGGCCUAUGGGCCAAGCUUCAGCCAAUGGUAUGAUUUAUGAAAAUGCUUUGGCCUAGUGAUAUGAUUUAUGAAAAGGCUUAGGCCCAGUAUAUGUCGAGACUGAAUUAGGGCUUAGGCCCAUACUGCUACUGUUUAAGGGCUAAAGCCCAGACUAUACUAUUACUGAAUAGGGCUUUGGCCCAGAUUGUACUGACACAGUGUUAUUCACUGUUUGUUUGUUGUUGGGGAUUACACACUGAGUUUUCGUAAACUCACCCCGUUUCUAACUGUGCAGGUAAUCCCUAAGCUUAGAUGGUUUGGAGCUACGACGGACUCGGAGAUGGCCACACUACUGUUUUUGUUUCUUUUAAUUGCAAUAAGUAACCGGUUUAUUUUUUUAUAAGUUUUAUCUUAAUUAAUAUUAUUAUUUGAUUUUGGGUUGUAAUAAGGCCAUUUUAAUUAUUUUUCUGGGAUUAUUU